UGAUCCUAUCUCUUGUCUCAAUAACGCUAUGAUCCUAUCACUUGUCUCAAUAUUGAGACAAGUGAUAGGAUCAUAGCAUAUUGAGACAAGUGAUAGGAUCAU
rnacentral:pre_miRNA from 1 species